AUUAGAGUUGGUCAAUUUCGUGCCAGCCACCGUGGCCAUACAAUUGACUCAGGUUAAUAGAAUCCGGCGUAAAGAGUGUGUAAGAUUUUCUUCCCAAUAAAGCUAAUCUAUAAUAAGUUGUAGAAAACCCCAGUUAUAGUAAAAUAUUCUACGAAAGUGGCUUUAACACCCUGAAUACGCUAUAGCUAAGGUACAGACUGGGAUUAGAUACCCCACUGUGCUUAGCCCUAAACCUCAAUAACUUAACCAACAAAAUUAUUCAUUAGAACACUACAAGCAAUAGGUUGAAACUCAAAGGACCUGGCGGUGCUUUAUGUCCUUCUAGAGGCGCCUGUUCUAUAAUCGAUUAACCCUUACAGACCUUACCACAUCUUGCCCUCAGCCUGUAUACCGCCAUCUUCAGCAAACUCCUUAAAGAUCAUAAAGCAACCACAAGUAUUGUCAUAAAAACGUGAGGUCAAGGUGCAGCCAAAGAAGUGGGAAGAAAUGCGCUACAUUUUCUAAAUUAGAAAACUAUACACUAGUCUUUAUGAAAUCUAAAGACCUAAGGUGGAUUUAGCAGUAAAUCAAGAAUAGAGAGCUUGAUUGAAAUAAGGCACAUUAAACACAAAU